GGUUAACGCUGGCGGCGUGCCUAACACAUGCAAGUCGAGCGAGGGCUUUCUUCUCGCAAGAGAAGUGAGUUCCUAGCGGCAAACGGGUGAGUAACACGUGGGCAACCUGUCCUCUCGCGGGGGAUAACACCGAGAAAUCGGUGCUAAUACCGCAUGUCAUCGCCGGAGGCAUCUUCGGCGCGAAAAGCAGCAAUGCACGAGAGGGUGGGCCCGCGGCCUAUCAGCUAGUCGGUGGGGUAACGGCCUACCGAGGCUUUGACGGGUAGCUGG
rnacentral:rRNA from 1 species